UCUCCAGGCUGAACAACCCCACCUCUCUCAGCCUGUCCUCGGAUGGGAGGUUCUCCAGCCCUCGUAUCAUCCUUGGAGCCUCCUCUGGACCCAUUCCAACAGCUCCAUCUCCUUUUUUCUGUGGGAAAGGGACCAAAACCCGUGUGCAAAGUACAGCUGCAUGGCUCAAAACACCUCUUGUCCUCCUUAAUAUAUUCCUUCUCACACUGCCUGACUUGUUACCGCGCGAAGGCAGAGAGGAUUUUGCUGUGGAAACUGUUGCCCCUUCCCUCCCAUCUGCUUUGCGGUGUUUACGACGCAGCAAACCUCAGCUGCAUCGCACAGCGGAGCCAUAUGGCAUCCAUAGAUUGUCUCCAUCUGCUGUCUCUUGCCUUGCAGUUAAAUUGUGAUUGCUCUGAAACAAGAACCAUAUUUUCACGCUGUGUUUUUGGAGCUCCUACUGAAAGGAGAUCUUCAUUC